rnacentral:rRNA from 1 species
UACGAAGGUGGCAAGCGUUGUUCGGAUUCACUGGGCGUACAGGGUGUGUAGGCGGUUUGGUAAGCCUUCUGUUAAAGCUUCGGGCCCAACCCGGAAAGCGCAGAGGGUACUGCCAGGCUAGAGGACGGGAGAGGAGCGCGGAAUUCCCGGUGUAGCGGUGAAAUGCGUAGAGAUCGGGAGGAAGGCCAGUGGCGAAGGCGGCGCUCUGGAACGUUACUGACGCUGAGACACGAAAGCGUGGGGAGCAAACAGG